rnacentral:rRNA from 1 species
GAUGAACGCUGGCGGCGUGCCUAAUACAUGCAAGUCGAGCGAAGCGGGCACGGGUGAGUAACACGUCGAUAACCUCCUAUAAGACUGGGAUAACUUCGGGAAACCGGUGCUAAACCGGCUACUUAUCGCUGGUUCCGCUCUGCAUUAGCUAGUUGGUCAGGUAACGGCUUACCAAGGCAACGAUGCAUAGCCGACCUGAGAGGGUGAUCAGCCACACUGGAACUGAGACACGGUCCAGACUCCUACGGGAGGCAGCAGUAGGGAAUCUUCCGCAAUGGGCGAAAGCCUGACGGAGCAACGCCGCGUGAGUGAUGAAGGUCUUCGGAUCGUAAAACUCUGUUAUUAGGGAGGCGGUACCUAAUCAGAAAGCCACGGCUAACUACGUGCCAGCAGCCGCGGUAAUAC